GAUGAAGAACGUAGCGAAAUGCGAUACGUAAUGUGAAUUGCAAAUUCAGUGAAUCAUCGAGUCUUUGAACGCACAUUGCGCCCCCUGGUAUUCCGGGGGGCAUGCCUGUCCGAGCGUCAUUGCUGCCCUCAAGCACGGCUUGUGUGUUGGGCCCCGCCCCCCGGCUCCCGGGGGGCGGGCCCGAAAGGCAGCGGCGGCACCGCGUCCGGUCCUCGAGCGUAUGGGGCUUCGUCACCCGCUCCGUAGGCCCGGCCGGCGCCCGCCGGCGACCCCCCUCAAUCUUUUCAGGUUGACCUCGGAUCAGGUAGGGAUACCCGCUGAACUUAAGCAUAUCAAUAAGCGGAGGA
rnacentral:misc_RNA from 1 species